GGAGGGGUGGCAGAGUCCGGUUGAAUGCACCAGUCUUGAAAACUGGCAGGCCGCAAGGUCUCGUGGGUUCGAAUCCCACCCCCUCCGCCA
rnacentral:tRNA from 2 species